UGGGUUUGGACUGUUGAGAUCUGCUACCCUUUUACUGCAUAAUUUGCAACAGAAGCAUUUAUUUCGUGUGCACAGCAUAUCUCUCUGGGUCCUGGUGAUAGAAAAAUGUAGUGUUAAGGUUGACUCUUUAGUGGUGCAGGAGCACAUACUGUGAGACCAGAGGAUCUGUUCUGAACUUCCUAUGAAUUAAGUUCAGUUCCCCAGGGCUUUCAGAUUCACCCUUCCUCUUGCAUAUAUUCGUAUGUUUCAGGACUCAGUGAUCUUUGAGGAUGUGGGGGUGGACUUCACCCUGGAGGAGUGGACUUUGCUGCAUUCUAGGCAGAAGAAUCUCUACAGAGAUGUGAUGCUGGAAACUUUCCAGAACCUGGUCUCAGUGGGUAAGGAUGGAUUCAGGCCUUCACUUGGAUCUCUUGUCAGUGCUCUUCCAUGAUUUAAAGUGUGGAAGGACACUUCAAAGGAAGACAGACAUGGUUACAGCCAUCAUGGACUUAGAAUCUGAUAAUGUCUCAUGACAGUGAAAAUGAGUGCAUUAAACUGAAGUUUUAUUUUUGUUUUGGUUCAGAAGACUUGAAGCUCCUUAAAGUUCAGUAGUGGGAGACUGGCUUCAUAAGUUGUUUUGGUUCACAGUUUUCUUGGAAAACUUGUUAUAGUCAUUAGUAAAUUGCCUACCAUUUUGACCUCUCCUGCCUGCCAUUGAUGAAGUCCUGAAAACCCUAAAGCCCUCAGUCUUUCUUUGCUCACAAGUUACUUCUUCAAGAUGUUCAUUCACAUUUUUAUUUGUUUAAGAUUAUGAAACACUGUUUAAACCCAGUGAGUUGGUUUCUAAACACGAUAUGCAUGAGGAAAAAAAUCUAAUGAAGAGAAAAUGGCAAAGUGCACAAGAAAUCAUUCUUGUGCCUACAUAUUAGAAAAAAAUUGGGAAGACCAUAGCAUUGAAGAUCAGCAUGGAAACCAUGCAAUACAUCUGAGCAAUCCUAUGACAGAUCCUAUGAAAGUAAUAAAGGAAAUCAACAUAGAGAAAUGUGCAGCCAGUUUCCCCAUUUUAAUUUCUGCAAGAAUAUUUCUACCAGAGUAAAACUCUAUGAAUACACCAAGUGUGGGAAAGGCUUCAUGCAUCUUUCUUCCCUUAAGAGGCAUGUGAGAUCUCACUGUGGACAGAGACUACAUCCGUGUCAGGAAUGCAAGCAGGCCUGCAUUUGUCACACACACCUAAGAAC
rnacentral:lncRNA from 1 species